rnacentral:misc_RNA from 1 species
GUUACAUGUAAUUAGAGUGGUCUUCUCUUUAAGAAGUAAUCAAUAAUAGUGAAAUCCUCGUAAUGGAGUUAAAUAUUCAUAUCAGUAGAUCCCUACUCGAGGGAUAUCAGUAACAGAAUACUAGUUCCACAUCCCACUAGCAAGGGCUUUAUCAAAAAUCAAUAACUACAAGGUGCACCACGUCUAACGAUCCCGCCGUCAGCUACGGGAUUCAUCAAGGUCUACUCCCAUUCAUAUUCUUCUUGUAAUCACUUCCUCUUCCGCUUCUUUCUUUAUUUAAGAAUCCAAGCUUAUCAAUUCUCUUCCUCGCUCCUUCUCUCUUCCAAAUCUAUUAAAUUGCCAUGGUGGAAACAAAUUUCUCCAGUGAUAUGGAACUUGAGGAUGUUGGCUUGUUCUUGCAUUUGCUUUUCCUUUUUUACCAUUACUACUCACACAAAUAACUAACAAGUGAGAACCGACAACAAUGAUGAACGUAGGAAGGAAACUAUUUUUUUU